rnacentral:rRNA from 1 species
UCGAGAAUUUUUCACAAUGGGGGAAACCCUGAUGGAGCGACGCCGCGUGGGGGAUGAAGGGCUUCGGUCCGUAAACCCCUGUCAUUGGCGAACAAGGGUUGCGUCCUAAUACGACGUAACUUGAUAGUAGUCGAAGAGGAAGGGACGGCUAACUCUGUGCCAGCAGCCGCGGUAAUACAGAGGUCCCGAGCGUUGUUCGGAUUCACUGGGCGUAAAGGGUGCGUAGGUGGUUGGGUAAGUUUGAGGUGAAAGCUCCGAGCUCAACUCGGAAAAUGCCUUGAAUACUAUCUGGCUAGAGGAUUGGAGGGGAGACUGGAAUUCUCGGUGUAGCAGUGAAAUGCGUAGAUAUCGAGAGGAACACCAGUGGCGAAGGCGAGUCUCUGGACAAUUCCUGACACUG